UCUCCUUUAGCGUCAGUUUGCUCUGCAGCCUCUUUUAGGAGAGGCUGUGUUGGACAGAUUUUCCAAUGUUUCGUCAGCCCAUGUGAGGUUGCCAAGUGUUCGUAUCCAAAUGCUCACUGUGUGGCUGACUACUGCAAUGGAUGUACCGCUGUUUGGUAUCAUGGCCAUACAAAACUAACCACUGAACAGUGUGCCUAAACAACGACACCGCCACCAUUUUAAUAUGUUUAUUGACGUAUUAAACAUGUAUCAAUAUUGCU